rnacentral:rRNA from 1 species
AGUGAACGCUGGCGGUAGGCCUAACACAUGCAAGUCGAACGGCAGCACAGUAAGAGCUUGCUCUUACGGGUGGCGAGUGGCGGACGGGUGAGGAAUACAUCGGAAUCUACUUUUUCGUGGGGGAUAACGUAGGGAAACUUACGCUAAUACCGCAUACGACCUACGGGUGAAAGCAGGGGAUCUUCGGACCUUGCGCGAUCGAAUGAGCCGAUGUCGGAUUAGCUAGUUGGCGGGGUAAAGGCCCACCAAGGCGACGAUCCGUAGCUGGUCUGAGAGGAUGAUCAGCCACCCUGGAACUGAGACACGGUCCAGACUCCUACGGGAGGCAGCAGUGGGGAAUAUUGGACAAUGGUCGCAAGCCUGAUCCAGCCAUACCGCGUGGGUGAAGAAGGCCUUCGGGUUGUAAAGCCCUUUUGUUGGGAAAGAAAAGCAGCAGGUUAAUACCCCGCUGUUCUGACGGUACCCAAAGAAUAAGCACCGGCUAACUUCGUG